UGGGGAAUAUUGGACAAUGGGCGCAAGCCUGAUCCAGCAAUGCCGCGUGGAUGAAGAAGGUCUUCGGAUUGUAAAGUCCUUUCGGCGGGGACGAUGAUGACGGUACCCGCAGAAGAAGCCCCGGCUAACUUCGUGCCAGCAGCCGCGGUAAUACGAAGGGGGCUAGCGUUACUCGGAAUGACUGGGCGUAAAGGGCGCGUAGGCGGUUUGGACAGUUAGGCGUGAAAUUCCUGGGCUCAACCUGGGGGCUGCGCUUAAUACAUCCAGACUUGAGUGUGGAAGAGGGUCGUGGAAUUCCAGGUGUAGCAGUGAAAUGCGUAGAUAUCUGGAAGAACACCAGUGGCGAAGGCGGUCAACUGGCCCAUAACUGACGCUCAUGCACGAAAGCGUGGGGAGCAAACA
rnacentral:rRNA from 1 species